UACGUAGGGGGCAAGCGUUGUCCGGAUUUAUUGGGCGUAAAGAGCGUGUAGGCGGCUGGGUAGGUCCGUUGUGAAAACUCGAGGCUCAACCUCGAGACGCCGAUGGAAACCCUCCGGCUAGAGUCCGGAAGAGGAGAGUGGAAUUCCUGGUGUAGCGGUGAAAUGCGCAGAUAUCAGGAAGAACACCCGUGGCUAAGGCGGCUCUCUAGUACGGUACUGACGCUGAGACGCGAAAGCGUGGGGAGCGAACAGG
rnacentral:rRNA from 1 species